rnacentral:rRNA from 1 species
CCUACGGGUGGCAGCAGUGAGGAAUAUUGGUCAAUGGACGAGAGUCUGAACCAGCCAAGUAGCGUGAAGGAUGACUGCCCUAUGGGUUGUAAACUUCUUUUAUAAAGGAAUAAAACGAGGCACGUGUGCCUUUUUGCAUGUACUUUAUGAAUAAGGAUCGGCUAACUCCGUGCCAGCAGCCGCGGUAAUACGGAGGAUCCGAGCGUUAUCCGGAUUUAUUGGGUUUAAAGGGAGCGUAGAUGGGUUGUUAAGUCAGUUGUGAAAGUUUGAGGCUCAACCGUAAAAGUGCAAUUGAUACUGGCAGUCGUGAGUACAGUUGAGGUAGGCGGAAUUCGUGGUGUAGCGGUGAAAUGCUGAGAUAUCACGAAGAACCCCGAUUGCGAAGGCAGCUUACUAAACUGUGACUGACAUUGAUGCUCGAAAGUGUGGGUAUCAAACAGGAUUAGAUACCCCAGUAGUC